GUGCACACAUUGGCAGCACAUAUACUAAAAUUGGAAUGAUGUAGAGAAGAUUAGUAUGGCCCCUGCACAAGGAUGACACGCAAAUUCGUGAAGCAUUCCAUAUCUUU